rnacentral:lncRNA from 1 species
AAACGAAUUGAUAACAACUUUCCUAUUCCUGACUUGUUAUUGUUGUUCUAACAGCUAUGUUCACGCUGAUGUACGAUGGUUUGACGCUGAUGUACUAUUGUUUGAAGGUUAAGUACGAAUGAUUGACACUUAAGUACGAAUGUUUGACGCUGAAGUACGAUUGUUUGACGCUGAAAUACGAUUGUAUAACACUAAAAUAUUGUUGUUUGACACUGAAGUACGGCUGUAAUGCUAUCUUGUUAUCGAUGUUUUAUAUUAUUUUCAAUGAUUUU